rnacentral:rRNA from 1 species
UACGAAGGGUGCAAGCGUUAAUCGGAAUUACUGGGCGUAAAGCGUGCGCAGGCGGUUUGUUAAGUCCGUUGUGAAAGCCCCGAGCUCAACCUGGGAAUGGCAGUGGAUACUGGCGAGCUAGAGUGUGAUAGAGGAUGGUGGAAUUCCCGGUGUAGCGGUGAAAUGCGUAGAGAUCGGGAGGAACAUCAGUGGCGAAGGCGGCCAUCUGGAUCAACACUGACGCUGAGGCACGAAAGCGUGGGGAGCAAACAGG